CAAAAUUGUUCUUCAUCUGUGUUCAGAAACCUUCUCGUCUCUCUUCUCCUUAAUCUCUCUCAUCUGUCUCACUGUGCGUCGCAUGCAAGACGCCAUCGUUUUGGAUUAAAAUAUGUCGUUUUGGUUCCCGCACGGAUGACCUUCCUUCCCCUUACCUUCAGUCUUCAUCCCAAACCCCCAUCUUAACAGCUUCUCCCCAAAUCAAAAAAGGAAGUUGAAACAGGAAACCCUAGCUUCUCCACCACUGCCGCAAGGACUGUCGCCGUCCGUCGCUCUCAGGCACUACCAUCGUCGUCUGGUCGUCCAUGCUUCUUCCUCCUUCAAGAAUCGCAGCUUCUUCUUCCUCGAGCUCGGCGCGUCAGUUCCUGGUAUUCAUCUGCUCCAUCGCGCUCCUGCUGCCGUCCGUCGGGCGCUCAGUCACCAUCGUCUUCGUCUGGUCGUCGCAGAUUCUUCCAACCCACCACCGUCUUCUGAGUUGUGUUCGUCGCCUGGCCUCUGUCUCCGUUACGAUUCUGCCCCCCUCUUCUCAGACUGCUUAGAAGAAAAACCCAUCUCCAUUCCAGUUUCCUUCCUUCGAGUUCAGAGAGCAGAAGCUCAACCAAGAAAAAAACCUUAGACUUCGACGGGAGUGAUUAGUGAAGAAAAAGUGGAUUCAUUCAAUGUGCCUUUGAUA